CCUGAGCCUGGUGACGUCACGGGUGGAGGAGACCGCCCCGAGCCCUGUGACUUCACGGUGGAGGAGACCACCCUGAGCCCGGUGACGUCACGGGUGGAGGAGACCGCCCCGAGCCCUGUGACUUCACGGUGGAGGAGUCCACCCCGAGCCUGGUGACAUCAUGGUGGAGGAGACCGCCCCUGAGCCCGGGUGCCCCUGAUCCCAGGCACUGGAUGGGAUCCCCGGGGGCCAUGUUUUAAAAUCAGUUUAUUUGCUCUCUCAUCUAUAAAUUAUUUUUUAAUUGCAAUAAGACCGCCUACUCAAAAAGAGUUCUGGAGACAGAUGAUGGUGGUGUCUGCAUGUAGGAAUGUAUUUAAUGCCACUGAACUGAACACUUAAAAAUGGUUAAGACGGCACACUUUUUGUUACCUGUAUUUACCACAAUAAAAAAUUGGGAGAAAAAGUAAACACUGACCUUUCAAACACACUAGCUGGUCCUGAGGAUGUGCGUUUUGUGUUAGUGAGGCAUAAAGGAACCUCAGAGCGUUGGCCAAAAGAUGUGGCCAUUAAUAAACUAUGAUUUGGGGUAAAUGUCUGAGCCUCAUUUUUUCAACUGUAUAAGGGAGAUUAAAAAUAACAUAGUCCUCUGUGAUGUGGGGGCAAAUAACAAAUGUUUGCUUUGGUAACUGCAAAUUGUGAAUAAAUGUCACUGUAUAGUUAAAAAACAACAGCAGCUCAUCUGGUCAGCACAGCACCACCAGCCUCCCUCAUGGCAGAAACCCAACAUCUGGUCA
rnacentral:lncRNA from 10 species